GAUGAUAUCCUGACCAAGGAGGAGUACAUGGACCUGUAUGAAGACGUAUGUGCUGGAGACCCGCAAGAUGAUCAGCAAGACGGUGAAUUAGAUCAGAAGAAGGAGGAGUUUGCGGACGACACCGAAUGAAAAUAACCCGAGGACUUUCUAAAAAUGUAUUACUGCUUAAAUAAAAAAUUAUUCCUUAAAGAAUAUUAGACCAUAGUAUGUAUUCCUUUCCCAAAGCAAUAUUCACACAUAAAUAUAGAGAUACUUUCCUUGCCUAAUAGUUCUCAGAAGACACUGAAAAUUACCGUUGUUUACUUUGCCACUUUGACAGUAUGUUAUGUCAUGAUAUUUUUAUUAUAUUCUCUUCUUUACGUUCAUCUCUGUGAAAGCUUUCAUAUAAUCUUUUAAUAAAUUCUAAAGAUAUA